GGGCUUGUUGUUGGGUGGGGCCAGUCUCUAGGGUGGGCUGCCUGCCCUGGCUGAGCUGGAUUAAAUCCGUGCUCUAGUGGGUGGGGCAGACCCUGGGCUAGCAGGCCUCAGGGAGAACUCCAAUGGCGUCUGUGUCAGCACGCCCACACCAGGCCACAACAAUGGCCACCGCCAAUGUCCCAGUCCCUGGAGAGGUCUCACCCCUCACCGAGAUGCACUCAGGGCCUAUUAUGUGGCCUUCAGCUGGAAGCCUGAGGAGGAGGUAGUCCUGUGAUGGCCCCUUUACAGUGCCUCAUCUUGCCUCUCUCAAAAACCAAUCCUCCCCCAACCCCAGCGAAGUUCCUCUGUAUUUCAAGAUUGGGUGGGAGAAGGGAGUGUGGAGCUGGAUGAAGAAAGAGAGGAGGGCAACUCCCAGAGCAGUUAAUUCUUCAUAGGCUGAAGCAGAAGUCCAGGCACGCUUUAUUUUGUGAUCUGUCACCCUCUGGAAGGCAUGCAUCAUGAGGACUGAGAAUUGCCUGGUUUGUUCACUGCUGGACCCCCGGUGUCUUGAAUAUUGCAUGUGCAUAGUAAAUGCUCAGUUAGUGUUUUUUGAAUGAAUGAGUUUAGACAUACUGUUCUUAGUGUCUGUGGAGUGUGUUUUUCCCUUUCUGAUAUUUUUUUACCAACCUUAAGAGCUUAUGUGACUUUGGUUUCUCUCGCUAUUUCAUUUGGGAUAUUUCACAGAGGCUUUUUGUUAACUCUUUCUUGCUUCUCUGAGUUGAUUCCCAAUGUAUUUGUUUGUUCAUUAAUUUAACAAUAUACAUGGAAAACCUAACACCAGGUGGUCUUUUAGGCACUAGUUAAGAAAACGUGCUCCUCAGUCUUUCCCUUUUCUCUGUCAUUAGCCUAAUCUAUUUCUAAUCCUUUUCUCCCCUAUUUUUCCUUCUUUCUUAAGUCUUAGAGCAGCAGCUGAAAUUCUUCAAGCAUAGUGGUCACUAGUGUUUUUUCUUGGCGCCAAGAGUAGACGAGUGAGUCUGAAGUACUGGUACCCUACUGUGUCAUUAGCUAGCAGUAAUGGAGCAAUACUUGACUUUGGGAGGCAUGACCAACUUGGCAGAGCAAAGGCUAUAGGGAAGGAAUAAUUGACACUUCUUCUCCUUUCCACACUCACAGGGUACACUAUCAGUGUGCCAAAGGGAAAAUAAACAUUAUUUCUCUAAAAAUAAAAUCUGUUUGAAAAUAGUGAAUGAAAUGAUAAUAAUUUGUUUCUUUUGAAAUGUUCUAAUUUAAAAUAUUUUGACU